GCCAGGCACAGUGGCACGUGCCUGUAGUCCCAGCUAGUCAGGAGGCUGAGUUGGGAAGAUUGCUUGAGCCCAGAAGUUCUAGGCUGUAGUGCACUAUGCCAAUCGAGUAUCCACACUAGGUUUGGCAUCAAAUGGUGACCUGUUGGGAGCAGGGGACCACCAGGUUGCCUAAAGAGAGGUGAACCAGCCCAGGCUGCAAAUGGAGCAGGUCGAAACUCCUGUGCUGAUCAGAGCCUGUGAAUAGCCACUACACUCCAGCCUGGGCAAUAUAGCAAGACCCCAUCUCU
rnacentral:SRP_RNA from 1 species